UUAUUUCUGGAUGGGUCAUCUAGAUUAAUUAUCAUACUUUAAAGUGAAAUGUAUAUUAGGCCUUGAUAUCUGACAUAGGUUUUGUGUCAAGAUUUAAUUUAAUAUUUUAAUUGUCUCAUAAACGAAAAAAUAUGCGGAUCUUUUAUAAGAAAUAUUCGGUCUCUAAUAGUAAUCAAAUUAACAUACAGAUAUAGGCCUAAUAUGAGGUCACAAAAAAUGCACUCUGCAGCCUCCGGGCGGAGGUGGGUGUGUCGUUUUAAAGUUCCCGGAUGAAAGUAGGUGUGUCUUAGGUGGUGCAAAAAUGGCCGACAGUGCAGAGGAAGAAUCUUUGGACGGGAUAGGAAAUAAAAGAGUGAUGGCAUCAGAAGAAACUGAUAAAAAUUGUUUAAAGGCUGAAACAAGCAGGGUUAGAUGUAGAAAACUAAAGAAUCCACGGAGAGGGAUACAGGUAUGAUUAAUUUCAUGAUUAAUUAUAAAGUUUACAACAUUACUAUUUUAUUCUAUACCUGUAGAUAUAUUUUGCCGUAUUUACUACAUG